rnacentral:lncRNA from 1 species
AAACCAUAAACCUCAAUACCUCGUCCAGUAUGAGGGUGAAACGAGCCGUCCCCAUACCCUGUCCGGUAUGGGCGCCAAAACACAUAAAGUCUCCAUACCCCGUCCGAUAUGAGAGACCACGUUCCCGGUAGGGUUCCCUAUGGACCCGGUCCGUCCACCAUCUCCCAGGAUAUCUAGUUAGGCUGUCGACAUUAUCCAUUUAUCAAUUCACAUACAUUUUUCUAUUUUUCUUAAUCUCAAUUAUCCAAUCAAAUAUAAACACGUAAAUUAGUAAUGGACACCAAAU